UUUCGUUGCAAAGGUGAGGUUGAGAGGAAUGUUGUCUGGCUCGAGGUCAUGGAGGAGGAGGAGAGUAUUGAGAUGAGUGAAAGUUUCCAAUGGAAAUUUACCCUCUUAACACAAAAAAAAAAAUUGAUUCGCGGACCAGGCUUCAUUCCCCACACCCAACUUUUUUUUUUAUUCCU
rnacentral:pre_miRNA from 1 species